ACGGCCGGGGGGGACCGGCCACGCUGCGCUCCGGCUGGGCACCGGGAGCAGCGGGACGUGGGGUCCCCACCGAGCGGGGUGCCGUGGGUCCGGACCCCAAAUCUCCCUCUCUGUUUCCCCCGCUAUCCUCUGUCUUUGUCUGGGAAGUCGGGAUGGACGAAAAGAAGACGAAAAGCGGGUUCAUACGGGGCUGGAAAAAGGGAAAAUCCACCCUUGAGUGCACCAGUGUUGGGAAUAUAAAGAAAAUCGAAGCCCGCCUGCCACCGAGGAGCCUCUUCAAAACCCAGCCGCAGCAGCCGGAUGCGAAGGGAGCCUGUGAGAUUCCUCGGGACGGCCCGAUGGGAAGGCGGGCUCGCUUCUCAUCAGGUCCCUGGGUGCAGACUGUUGGGUUUAACCGCAGAAAUAACCAAAAGAAGAGAAGUCACCCGUCGCAUCCCUGCACUUUUCCCCAGCCCUGGCAUUGCUGCAGCCCCUGGGUCUACAUCCCUCACCCGCCAUCACAGCACUCCAGCCACGCUCCCCUGGACCACAGCAUCACAGCGCAUCCUAAAGCCCAGGCAGGUUUUUGGGGUGGCUGCGCACAGCCAGGUCCCCACGCCGGGCACCCCAUGGCAGCAGGCAGGAGCCCUCACGGCGCUGCUGGCCCGAGCGCUCUUCACUUUGCAGAACAAAGCUGUUUAUGAGCUAUAUGAGCGCAAUAAAGCAAAAGCAGCUGUGGCUACUGCCUCCUUUAUGGGAUUUUUUUCCCCUGCUCCUCUGAAAUUUUAUGAUCCAGAUAUAAAGACUUAGAAGAGAGCACUGACACCCUUUAACGCGGUGGCAUAAAAUACACGUGUUCCCGGGAUAAGAACCUUUCUUUGGGCGUUGCUUUUGGUGGGAUCCAGUCUCAUUUCCUUGGCAUCACUUUACCAGCCGUUCAGCAGCCAGGCUGCGAGUUCCCUUGCACGAUGCCCUCUUCUCACGGACUUUUUUUUGGGGGAAAAGAAAGCGCCCGGAAGGCUGCGACGGUGCCUGGCGGCGGGGCAGAAAUCCCAGGUGUUUCUCGUUCGGCGCUUGUGUUUGCACAGCGCUUCCCCGGGCCAGCAGGGCUUCGCCCAGGGCUUCACACGGGAGAAGGAGCAGGGCUGGAGGAUGCCAGGCUCGGAGGAGGAGAGGCGCGGGGAGCAGCGCUGCCACACGCCCUGACCCCCGCCCCC